AGGACGAACGCUGGCGGCGUGCUUAACACAUGCAAGUCGAACGGAAAGGCCCGCUUGCGGGUACUCGAGUGGCGAACGGGUGAGUAACACGUGGGCAACCUGCCCUCAGCUCUGGGAUAACUCCGGGAAACCGGUGCUAAUACUGGAUAUCGACUUCUGCCUCGCAUGGGGUGUGGUUGAAAGUUUUUCGGCUGGGGAUGGGCCCGCGGCCUAUCAGCUUGUUGGUGGGUGAUGGCCUACCAAGGCGACGACGGGUA
rnacentral:rRNA from 1 species